AUACUGGAGCCUCAAAAGCCAUGCUUCAGCCACUGCUCUACAGCCCUGGAGUGAAGAUAAUAUCACUCUUAUUGUAUAGUAGUUGUUCCUUGUAGGUGAAAAGUCCACAGUUUCAGCUCCUGCCUGAUGCCCAGAACUAACAAAUGGCCAAAGAAUAAAAGCCACAGAGUAUCACCAUAGGAGCAUGGAGGUUAAGACCGAAGACCCAAGAGUCUCCAAAUCAGGGAGGCAAGGCUGCAGGAUGUACAGCCAGUUUACUUAUAAAUGACUCUUUCUUUGUGUUCUCACCAUUUCAAGAUCAACACAAUGGGAGAAAUUCUGAGAGCCAACCAUUGCCCACUGAAAUCAUAAUACAACUCCUACCCUGUCAAAAUAUAAGACUAAGUGAUUCAAACAUCCAUUUUAAAGACAUUAGUCUUAGCUUUCAUAGAAAGUUUUUGCUGAAGAAACAUGGAAAUCCACUUGGGAUUUAGCACACUGUGGUGAGUGUACUUUCAGUUACAUAGAUUCAAAUAUCAAAACUAAAAAUACAAGAAAGCAGAGGACGUGUAAAACAUUCCCAGCUGACUGUUACCUGACUACUGACAGUAGGAGGGAAAGAACUAGUCAAAUAAAUUCUUGUUUUUAAACAAAAUAGCUCUUGGUUUUGUGAAGAGCAAAAUGGCAUCCUCUUUCUGUUCUGAUAUAAUUCAGCCAACUAAGAGGUCUGUAUUUGCACCAUUUAACUGAACAAAUUUUACAUUCUCAAGAAAAAGAAAGAAGUAAGCUACUGAUAUCAAC
rnacentral:lncRNA from 1 species